CCUGACUUAUAGAGUCAUUGCAGGUGUCAGUGCUGUUUCACAUGUGUGUCAGUAGGUGGCAGAAAAGAGAUACACUAUUUGAACGUGUAAAUAUCAGAACAAU
rnacentral:snoRNA from 1 species